UCUCACGCUGUUCCUCAAAGUUAAAACGCAGUAAGUCUAUAUGCAUUCCAUACAUACUUACUACAAUUUUCUUUUCAUUGAUAGACGAAGAUAUGAGUUUUUUUUUAAAGUAGUGACGAAUUAUUUAUGUCUCCUGAUUUUUAGGACACGUGUCUUCUGAUUUUAUUCAAAUUGGACCUGGCAACACUGAAAUAAUGUCAGAAUCUUUUCUUUGACAUUAUUUACAAUUUAUAUUAUUGUACAUAAUUGGUUUUUUCACUAUUCUUAAGCUAAAAAAAACACCUGUUUGUCCUCCAAAGAAUACCUUAUUGGAUUCACAGAAUGAUUGAGGAUUUGAGGGAAGCAUGUUAAGACUGUGACAAUAUGGUCUUAAGGCAGCCGGCCUCAUUGAGAACAAGAAAAUAUUCUGCUUCAUGUAGCGGUUGUUAUUUGUUAAUAUGACAUGUCUCGGCAGUGUAGUGAUCCUGUGCUUAAUUAAGGCUUCAGGCUCAAAUCAUGGUAAACCAAAAUGUAAGCGGCCGGUUGAAAAAGUAGCAGAGUCGAAAAUGGAAAUUAAUGAGCUGCAGAAGUAAAUUUUAGAAGAAUAAUUCUCUUCUUUGUUGUAUCCUUGUGGCUGAGGGACAUGACGAAUGAGGCCAUUCUUUACCAGUGCUCUUCACGCCACUCAAUCCUGGGCCCGGUGCAUGCUAGCCUGCAGUGGUCUUUGUCAGAGAUGUUAUUGUGUCUGCCCAAUGUGUGCCCAUGCUGCCACUUCUUCACUUCCUUGCCGUGUCCUGUGAUUAUGGGAAUAAUAUGCAAAUAAAAACCAACAAUGGGCCAUCGAAGAACAGGAGAGGGCAUGUGGGCCUUAGAGAAAGAGUUGUUAAUGUGAAGACUAAAUAAAUUCAACAAAUAAAAUCUCAACUAUAAUACUGUCUUUGGUACACCCGCUACCAUCGCGUCAAAUAGUGAAAGUGCAGUUCAGUGUAAGCAAAGACAGUGUACAAGAUAUACCACUCACCUAUGGCAUUAGUGUUACUAGACCACAUUAAUACAUAAAGACUAUUUUUCUAAACUUGUCCAAAAAUUUUAUUAAAAAGGUGUCGGAACGCCUUCUCGGGGGACCAAAUAGCGGGUUCCUUCUUUGCUCAGAGGUUGAGUCUGGCGGUGCAAAGGGGAAACGCCGCAAGCAUUCUUGGGUCUAUGCCGGAGGCAGGGGAUCUGAGGGGGUUUUUUAUAUUUAGUUAUAACCUGCUUGUGUUAGUUUUAGUCUUUAGGGUUUUAAGAUUUAAUUAUAAGAUUAAAUAUAUUGUUCGUAGUUGUUGUUGAAUAAGCAGUGUUUGUGUGUCUGACUAACGAAAAUAUAAAUUCAGAUUCUAAACGUCUAAACUUGUGUAUAGCUCUGUGUUGUCUUAAUAAAUCCUAUUGGAAACGC